UACCAGCACCCCGAGUGGUCGGGACGAUUAUUGGGCCUAAAGCAUCCGUAGCCGGUCCUGCAAGUCUUCCGUUAAAUCCAGCUGCUCAACAGAUGGGCUGCGGGGGAUACUACAGGGCUAGGAGGCGGGAGAGGCAAGCGGUACUUUAUGGGUAGGGGUAAAAUCCGUUGAUCCAUAGAAGACCACCAGUGGCGAAGGCGGCUUGCCAGAACGCGCUCGACGGUGAGGGAUGGAAAGCUGGGGGAGCAAACCGG
rnacentral:rRNA from 1 species